UACGUAGGGCGCAAGCGUUAUCCGGAAUUAUUGGGCGUAAAGAGCGUGUAGGCGGCCGUACAGGUCAGCUGUGAAAACUCGAGGCUCAACCUCGAGACGUCGGUUGAAACCGUACGGCUAGAGUCCGGAAGAGGAGAGUGGAAUUCCCGGUGUAGCGGUGAAAUGCGCAGAUAUCGGGAAGAACACCCGUGGCGAAGGCGGCCAGCUG
rnacentral:rRNA from 1 species